rnacentral:misc_RNA from 1 species
GAUGAAGAACGUAGCGAAAUGCGAUACGUAAUGUGAAUUGCAAAUUCAGUGAACCAUCGAGUCUUUGAACGCAAGUUGCGCCCGAAGCCAUUAGGCCGAGGGCACGCCUGCCUGGGUGUCACACACCGUUACCCUCGCGCCAACGUCCAUCGUUGGCCGCGGCGCGGGGCGUGCGCUGACCUCCCGCGAGCGGGGUCUCGUGGUUGGUUGAAAAUCGAGUUCGCGGUCGAGGGUGCCGUGAUGAAAUGGUGGAUGGGCGACGCCCGAGGCCAAUCACGCGCGACUCUGUCCGGCUCGGACUCCUGGACCCCUUCGGCGUCUCCGGACGCUCUUUGGCGAGACCUCAGGUCAGGCGGGGCUACCCGCUGAGUUUAAGCAUAUCAAUAAGCGGAGGA